CACCAGGAUAUUAACGAUGUUUCCCAGACUUGAGUCCUGGAAAAGUUUGGCAACCUGACCUCCAAGAAACAAGAGAGACGGAGUCUUAAGAGGGGCCCAGAGCAGGAGACAAAAGGCAAAACGGCAGUGGCCCUCCUUCCCCAGCAGGUGCCUGCGCAGCCUCAACCGCGUGCCCGGGGCUCUUUGGAACGCUAUCCUGACUCACUGCGACUGCCUGAGCCUUCCGGAGGAGCCUGGCCAAGUCUGAGAGUUGAUCUCCAAACAGGGCAGUUCAGCACACGAGGGAGGGAGCCAGGUUUUCAACAAGAUGCAGACUUAGAAGCUGACAUUACCCGCUUCUGCUUGGACCCCUCCAGGGACGGGGAGCUCACUCCAAGACACUCUGUGACCCUACUGGUCCCUUCAGCUGGGCUAAUGAUUAUCCCUUGUUUUUUGGUUUGUUUUUACCUUUUGGGGGUGGCAGUGGGCGGCCUGGGGUCGGACACCUGUGCGUGAGCCCCUCUGUGCCUCAGCCUCUGCGUUAGUGCCUAGACAGGGAGGGGCAGGGAGAAGGAGCUGGCCUGGGUCUGAAGUUCAGGGGUGGCUGAGAAUACUCUGCCCUUCCCCCUGACCCUGACAAGCCUCCUCUUGGAUUUCAUCCUCCCUCAGCUCCUGGGCCCCCACCAAACUCCCUCCUCCCUGUGCUCUGAUCUCCUCUUGCCUCCUCUCCUGUAAUCCAUGCUGGAGACCUUGACCGGUUCUGAUUAAACCCCUUCCUGGUCAGU